rnacentral:rRNA from 1 species
GAUGAACGCUGGCGGCGUGCCUAAUACAUGCAAGUCGAGCGAACGGACGAGAAGCUUGCUUCUCUGAUGUUAGCGGCGGACGGGUGAGUAACACGUGGAUAACCUACCUAUAAGACUGGGAUAACUUCGGGAAACCGGAGCUAAUACCGGAUGAUAUUUUGAACCGCAUGGUUCAAAAGUGAAAGACGGUUUUGCUGUCACUUAUAGAUGGAUCCGCGCCGCAUUAGCUAGUUGGUAAGGUAACGGCUUACCAAGGCAACGAUGCAUAGCCGACCUGAGAGGGUGAUCGGCCACACUGGAACUGAGACACGGUCCAGACUCCUACGGGAGGCAGCAGUAGGGAAUCUUCCGCAAUGGGCGAAAGCCUGACGGAGCAACGCCGCGUGAGUGAUGAAGGUCUUCGGAUCGUAAAACUCUGUUAUUAGGGAAGAACAAAUGUGUAAGUAACUGUGCACGUCUUGACGGUACCUAAUCAGAAAGCCACGGCUAACUACGUG